GAAAUAGUGACACCUACAGGUUAAACUAGUGAGCUGCAUUUAAUUUAAGUUACUGUGGUCAUGUGAUUAGCCUAACUAAUAGCAGUGCAAAAAUGUGCAUGCAGUUUGUUGGUGCUACGCUGUACACGGAGUUAGAUGCUAAAGAAGAGAAUAAUUAAACAGUAAAGCGUUACAGCAACUCCUAGAUUUCUGGUCGGAAGGCGCACACGUUUUUGACGGUGUUUGACGGUGUUUGAUGGUGUUUGAUGGUGUUUGAUGGUGUUUGACGGUGUUUGACGGUGUUUGACGGUGUUUGACGGUGAUUGAAUGCGCUUAAGUUGUGAAGGAAUGCAAUUAAAGAAACGACAAACAUCAGUUGAAGCAAUGAUGGAGGGAAAGAGAUCAGACUCACCAGAACCCAGCUGUGUGUCCAUGAAGAGUGACGAGUCAAUGGAUCUUCCAUUCACUUCAGAGACGGAGCCAGUUCUCCUGAUGUGAG
ensembl:lncRNA